GAUGAAGAACGUAGCGAAAUGCGAUAAGUAGUGUGAAUUGCAGAAUUCAGUGAAUCAUCGAAUCUUUGAACGCACAUUGCGCCCCAUGGUAUUCCGUGGGGCAUGCCUGUUCGAGCGUCAUUUACCCCCUCAAGCUCCGCUUGGUGUUGGGCGUCUGUCCCGCUUCGCGCGCGGACUCGCCCCAAAGGUAUUGGCAGCGGUCGUGCCAGCUUUUCGCGCAGCACAUUGCGCUUCUCGAGGCACCGGUGGGCCCGCGUCCAUCAAGCUCACCCCCCCAGUUUGACCUCGGAUCAGGUAGGGAUACCCGCUGAACUUAAGCAUAUCAAUAAGCGGAGGA
rnacentral:misc_RNA from 1 species